rnacentral:rRNA from 1 species
AUUGAACGCUGGCGGCAUGCCUUACACAUGCAAGUCGAACGGCAGCACGGGAGCAAUCCUGGUGGCGAGUGGCGAACGGGUGAGUAAAGUAUCGGAACGUGCCCAGUCGUGGGGGAUAACGUAGCGAAAGUUACGCUAAUACCGCAUACGACCUAUGGAUGAAAGCGGGGGAUCGCAAGACCUCGCGCGGUUGGAGCGGCCGAUAUCAGAUUAGGUAGUUGGUGGGGUAAAGGCUCACCAAGCCGACGAGCUGUAGCCGGUCUGAGAGGACGACCGGACACACUGGGACUGAGACACGGCCCAGACUCCUACGGGAGGCAGCAGUGGGGAAUUUUGGACAAUGGGCGAAAGCCUGAUCCAGCCAUGCCGCGUGCAGGAUGAAGGCCUUCGGGUUGUAAACUGCUUUUGUACGGAACGAAAAGGUUUGGCCUAAUAAGCUGAGCUCAUGACGGUACCGUAAGAAUAAGCACCGGCUAACUACGUGCCAGCCGCCGCAGUAA